rnacentral:rRNA from 1 species
GGACCAAGGAGUCCAGCAUGUGCGCGAGUCAUUGGGACUAUCGAAUCCUAAAGGCGAAAUGAAAGUGAAUUGCAUAAGAAGGGAAGAUGGGUGAUGAAAAUCGCCUCGCACUCCCGGGGCGUCUCGUUCUCAUUGCGAGAUGAGGCGCACCUAGAGCGUACAUGCUGGGACCC